AUGGCCGACGGCAAGCGCAGCGUCGCGGAGACCUUCUCCAGACUCCGGGAGCGCGGCAAGACGGCAUUCAUCCCAUUCAUCACCGCCGGUGACCCUGAUUUGGCGACCACAUCAAAGGCGCUUAGGAUCCUAGACUCCUGCGGCUCAGACGUGAUCGAGCUCGGCGUGCCCUACUCGGAUCCGUUAGCUGAUGGUCCAGUCAUUCAGCCAUUUCAUUUUCAGGCUGCAGCAUCCCGUGCGCUUAAGAAAGGCACUAAGCUCGGUUCUGUCUUGGCGAUGCUCACGGAGGUUAUACCAGAGCUCUCUUGUCCAAUAGUUCUCUUCACAUACUACAACCCGAUUCUAAAAAAUGGGGUGCGAAACUUCAUGGCUAAGAUUAAGCAAGCUGGUGUACAUGGUCUUGUCGUACCUGAUCUUCCUUUGGAGGAGACAACAUUGUUGAGGAGCGAGGCCACUAUGCAUAACAUAGAGCUGGUGCUACUUACAACACCAACCACACCAACAGAGAGGAUGAAGGAAAUCACAAAAGCUUCAGAAGGAUUCGUUUAUCUUGUGAGUGCUGUCGGAGUUACAGGUGCACGCUCAAAUGUAAACUUACGCGUUGAGCAUCUUCUUAAGGAGAUCAAGCAGGUUACAGACAAACCUGUGGCUGUUGGCUUUGGCAUAUCAACUCCAGAGCAUGCGAAGCAGAUUGCGGGCUGGGGAGCGGAUGGUGUGAUUAUUGGCAGUGCGAUUGUUAGACAGUUGGGCGAAGCCGCUUCUCCGGAAGAAGGACUGAGAAGAAUAGAAGAGUACGCCAAGAGCAUCAAGGCGGCUAUUCCAUGA
rnacentral:rRNA from 1 species